rnacentral:rRNA from 1 species
CCUACGGGAGGCAGCAGUAGGGAAUCUUCCACAAUGGGCGAAAGCCUGAUGGAGCAACGCCGCGUGAGUGAUGAAGGCCUUCGGGUUGUAAAACUCUGUCAUUCGGGACGAACCGGAGUCUGAGGAAAUGCAGACUCUCUGACGGUACCGGAGGAGGAAGCCCCGGCUAACUACGUGCCAGCAGCCGCGGUAAUACGUAGGGGGCAAGCGUUGUCCGGAUUCACUGGGCGUAAAGCGCGCGCAGGCGGUGAUGUAAGUCUGAGGUGAAAACCCGAAGCUCAACUUCGGGACUGCCUUGGAUACUGCGUCACUUGAGGAUAGGAGAGGCAAGGGGAAUUCCACGUGUAGCGGUGAAAUGCGUAGAGAUGUGGAGGAACACCUGUGGCGAAGGCGCCUUGCUGGCCUAUUUCUGACGCUGAGGCGCGAAAGCGUGGGGAGCAAACAGGAUUAGAUACCCUGGUAGUCCACGCUGUAAACGAUGAGUGCUAGGUGUAGGUGGGCUCAUACCCAUCUGUGCCGAAGCUAACGCAUUAAGCACUCCGCCUGGGGAGUACGGUCGCAAGACUGAAACUCAAAUGAAUUGACAG